UCUCAGAUUUCAAGUAUAUAAUUCCAGCUAAACUUUGCUUGGCAUAAAAGAACAGUUUUGAUCACACAGAAGCAUCAAUGCUGUUUCACUUGAAAGAUCUUCAACAGAAAUAAGAGGAUCUCUUUUAAGUCUGGAUUCUCCACUCUGCGUGCUCAUGUGGAGUUACUGAUAGUAAAUGCAGUAGGCCUUGUUGAAUAUUCUCUGGUGACCAGUCUCUUGGAAAUGAAGCAGAUUGCUAAAUUGUUACAGGGGAAAAAAAGAAUCUUGAGCUGAUUGGCUUUUGUUUAGAGAUAGUUGUUGGAACACAGGGGCCACACUCCUUUCAUAAAACAGCAACAUCAGUCUCCGAGUGAGGUUUAUAAACUUAAACACAACUUUAGAACCUAUUUCUGUGUUUAUAAUCAUCAAAUUGAGUUACAAGUGAAGAACAGGAAAGGAACAAAGGAUGAAGAGCAGACCGAAGUUUAGUUCUCCCCAAGUACAGCUUCACUUUUUGCCUUCUUUAAGCACCAGUGAGCAUGCAGUCUUGCUCAUUAAUUUUCCUGUUGAACCUUUUGCAGAGCUUGUAUUCCUGUUUUGAUCUCAAGGGGUGGGUAUCCAUUGCAGCAGUACCUGUCUCCAUUAUUCUGAAGUACCUGUCUCCAUUAUUCUGACACACUUUCAUACAUUUUCAGUUUGGUCUGGACAAGUUGCAUACUCAAACUUCAGAGGAGAUGUGGUGUAAGCAUUCAUUUAGUGAUAGGAAUGGAAAUCCACUUCUAGAGAGCAGUCAGCUCUCUUUGCAGAGGAUAGUCUUUUCUUAAAUUCCCUGCUGCACUGCGUUAACUCUGUAGAAAAAGGGGAAGUGAAACGCCACACAGGUGAUAAGUCCUGUGGUUAAAAAUAGUUCAAGUGCAUAAUGCAUGUACUCAGGAGAACUGAAUUCAUGUUGCACACGUAGUAACAUCAUGUUUCUAACACUUUUUAACCAGUUCGUGGAUGCAGACUACUUUCUGAACUAGUUCUUUGAAGCAUUCUUAGUCUAACCCAAAGUAAUCCGUUUUUAAAAUUCAGUGUAUUAAACCAGUGAUGACAGAAGAGGAAUCCCAUCUAUUCUGAGUAUCAUGUAUCUGAGAUUGUAACAGCUUAGAGAAGCCAUUGCAAUGAGCUUUAUUUUCAUGCAGGUCUAUACUGAGUGACUUCUGCUGUGACAUGCAAAGACUGGAGCCAAUGUGCAACUUACUGCAAGAAUCAACAUCCAAACCAUCUCAAGUUGUUACAGUUUUCCCCAGUUUUCCCACAGGUCCUGGCUGAGGUCAGGCAUUGGGUAUGGAGCAUUCCAGUUCCACUGUCAGCAGCUGUGAGGGACUUGGCUUUUAGCUGGAAGAAAAAUUUCCUCUGAUCUGCCUUUUGAUCAAGUUCAUAUUGAAGAGCUUGUGCUGAUCAGAACUCUUCAUAUCACCAGCAAUUGGAGUGAGAAGGAAGUUCUUCCAAACAGUGAUUCCCACUAUCCUACAUAGAUCAGUAUCUAGUGAUGUAGUUUUACAGAGGCUUAUCAGUGCACCUUCAAUGUGAGAAGCAAUCCUUUCUACCGCAGGAUCUUUUUGAAGGACUCUGUUCUGUCUAAUGCUGUGCUGUGAAGUCAGCUGCUAGUCAGCACAUGGAGGAUCUUCAGCCUCUGUAACAUAUCUGAAGAACACGUUUGGACCGUUUGCUCCUGGAACGAGUCGUGUUGCUUUACAAACAGCCUGCCCACCACAAAAAGAGUAGACUUAUUGCAGUGCUUCCACUUUUGAGAUGUGUAAGUCAGGCAGAGUGAAAGUAAUCUCAGAUUUUUGAAACAAAACACAUGUGAAGUCUCUGAAAAUCCCGAGUCACAGGAAACGUUGCCAAAAGCAAAGAACCACUUGCAGUAACGUCAAAGUUGCAUUAAAAGGAAUCUGAUGUAGGUUUUAGAUUUUUCUAAAUGUAUUGAACUAGGGACAGAGUCACAGCAGUAUUUGGGUAGGGAGAAGAAAGCCUGAUAAAGCUAUUUUUAAGAAAGGGCAUGCUCAUAGCAGACUGCCCCUUUCCAUUGUAAUCUCUCUCUCUGCAGUUCCACCAGCUCCUCUAGGAGUGCACCCUUUUUGAGUAAGGAUACAGGGUAAACUACAUGUGUGGUAAAAACCAUGACAGCUAGACUGGACAGCUUUUUCUUAGUCUGAAACCUGAAUCAAAAGUAACAAGUUGCUUGUAGAAGAGCAAGCAGAGGAAUAAAUUAUGCUGUCUUCUGUAGCUGUGUGUGUGUUUCAGGUUGAGGUCCUACAGGUUUGAAAUGCAAAGAAGUUUGUGUUUCACAUCUCUUAACCAUCAUGUAUUUCUUGCAAGGUUUCCAACAAUGAGUAAAUGACCACAAGGAUGUUUUGUGUAACUUCUUUUCUAUGUAAAAACCCACAUCUCUUUCAGAUAUUGAGCUGGAUCUGGCAAUAGAACCGGUGGGCUUUGCUCUUGAUGAAACAGGAGUAUUGGGGCUACAUAAUUGACCCAGAUUCUCUAUUGGCUGUUACUGUGUUGGGAGGUGAAAAGUGAUUGAUGAUGCCUGAAUUUAUGAAUCCCCUGUGCACUGAGGGACUGCAGUAUAGAAAUAUGAAGAGGACCUGCAGGAGGAAUCAUGACACUGUCAAAGCCACAGUGACCCCAAGAGAAGACAGACUUCUUUUUGGCACACAGAGCCUUUGGUUUUGUUAGCAUUAAAUACAUCUCUGUUCCAAACUGAGACCACAAAAUCUUUGGCAAGAAGAGAACCACAAUCAGACUUUAAUACCCAAAGACUGGUAAUGAUUGUGGUUACUUACAGAGAUGGGAUUGCUUGCUGAAAGUGGACAUCUAAUGUGUGAUUAAACAUACAUUUGCAUGUUACACUUGUGGUUCAAUCCUGUCAAAAUGACAGUUCAGUCAGUGCAGGUGUGUUGCUGCUGUCUGGAAGGUGAUGUCUGAUGGCAGAAUGAAGCAGCAGCAAAAGUCUGUGGCUCUGUAAAAAUGAUUUUUUUUUGUCCAUUACUUGUCUAAAUAAAAUAAGGUGCUUCAGGAACCAUAGUGAGUUCAACAGCAACCAGAAAUUACACUCUGGAAAAGUUUAAACUCAUGUUUUUUUGUUUGGUAUGUUCAGGAAGUGCCUGGUCUGUUUUAUCUCCUAACAAUGUUUUAGCUUUCACUCUCACCUUGUCUCUCAUAAGCUCUGAAGAACAUUCAUGGUGCCAUAUGGGUUGAGCUGGCUGGUCAGCUGUCUGUCUAUACCUCUGGAGAAGUUUGAUGGCAGGCUUUUCUGGAAGUAUUUCAUUCCUGGCACUUCAUUUAUGCCCAGGCUGAUGUUCCAACUGCUGCAGACGUACCAGUGUGCUAAAAUUGUGUCACAGUGAAUUAGACCCUACUUAUGCUUAUAAAUUUGCUUAAAUAAGCAUUUGCCUGUGGGCAAGUCACAGCCCAUGACUGUGCUGGGGCUGUGGCCAGCAGGGAGGAGCUGCCCUUCCACUGUUGCGUCUGUCAAUUGUGUUGCAGAACAGUGAAUGGGGGGAAAGGGAUUAUGAGAACACAAAUAACCCAUUGCAUGGUUCUUUCUUGUGCUGGGUAUCAUGUUCCUGAACUUGUUAGAAAAAUGGCUGGUAUAAUCAAGCUGAGCUUCAUGACUUAAAUCAAGCUUAAUUUUAGCCCAGUGCUUUUUGAAUUGCAAUGACUCAGGCAAACCUUUGUUCUGAAAUAUUGAUAAUAUUUAUGUGCUUCUUACAGCUCUGCACACAGAUUGUGGUUGGAUCCUGAUUUAAGAAAUGUUGGUAUUCCAGUAGGUGGCUUUUCAGUGACCCUUUUGCAGCCCACGUUGGAGGAAAAAACCUUAACUGACAGGUGCAGAAAUGAGACAGAUGAUGAUAGGACUCUAGUUUCUUUUCAGUAUUUAUUGAUGUAUUUUUCUAGGUGUUUUUUAGGUUUCCUGGACUUAGGCUCUGUGUCUCUCAGCUUCUUGUGCUCCUGCACUCCAGUCAGCACUGCCAGAAAGCUUGACUUGUAUUUAACUUAAAGGUUAGAACCAAUGCUCUUUGCAAACAUGAAAAGAAGGAAGGAACUGAAUGAUAUUUCACUUUCUCUUAUGUUCCUGUACUUUUAUAUUGAAAUGUUUAGGAAGCUGGGUCUUGAUUAGCUUUUAGUGAAGGAGAGAGAGAACUGUUUGUGUAAAUGCCCAUUGUAUUUGCCUGAAAACAGCUUUUGGAUGUCACCUCACUCACCUCGGUGCCUUCUGAGAUAUCUGCUGCUUUGCAAGGCUCAUGGAGUAUUUGUGGGACUUAGUAAUAGCAUGUGACAAGAACAGCAGAGCAGGAUGAAAAUCAAUUGUAUUCUCACAUAUGGAGUUCAGUGCCUUGCUUUUGCAGAAUGUCAUUUGGUUUGAGAAGAAAUUGUAAAGAGUAGUUGUGGCUUUUUUGUUCCCUGAUCACCUCGUGAAGAGCUGCACAGCACUGCAUGUUCUGGGCACACCUUUGGGAGCUGAAGGUUGGUAAGACACCAGGGCAGCUUUUCCUUGCUAGCCUUAGUGACCCCUUGCAUUGUUAAAAGUUCUGUUCUUCUACCUUGUUUUUCCUUGCAGUGUUUUGCCAAUGUUACAGAUGGGAGCUAUUAGCAACAAUAAGCACCAGAAAGACCCUCACCACUCCCAGUACCCAGAAGUUUAUGAGGAGAUGGAUUUGUUUCCAUAAAGCUGUUACUGGGAUGUAGUAGGGUGGUGGGGCAGGGAGGACUGCAUGGGGCCAUUGAGGUCCUACUGAACUGAGCUGGCUCUGCUGGAUUAUUGUAUUUCAGGCCUGAGGGCAGUGUUACAUCAGGAUGUUCACAAAAGUGCCCAAGCUGUUGGCUGAGUGGAAGGGACUUUGAAAGCAGUAUGGUCACACUCACCUUGUUCUUGAUUGCAGAAGCCUGGACUGAGGUGGCUUUCACCUCUGCCUGCAGCUUCUCCUGUGUUGCUCACAAAUGUAUCAGGCCCCUUUCCUGUUUCUGUUCAGAGCCUGGUGGGAGGGAAGAUCCUGAUCUCACCAAAGCAUAAACAACAACAAAAGUGUAGCUUUGCUUUCAGCUUUUCAGCCCUUGGUGUGUUUUACCAUGGAGUUUUGUGCUUACCCUUCUCUGCUUCCUCUUUAUGUGUGACCCCUUCACCUUUGGGCUGGGACCCUUCCCCUUUUCACAGUGACUUCUCAGAAGCUUCUCUUCCAGCCCCUACCCAUCUUAUGUGUACAAUAAGUAAAAUCUUUUCAGUCUACUUCUUCUUCCAUUUGGUGUUUUUUUUGUCCCUGAAUACUGGCAGAACCUCCUGACGUCACUUAGAGCCUUGGUUAAUGUCUGAGGGGUGGGCAGCAGUAGGUAAAGUUUGAAAUGUUGCUGUUUGAGGUGAUGCUGCUUCAUUGGCUCUAAAUACCUUCUGUUCUGUUGAGGUCCUCCUGCCUCUGCAGUGCUGUCUUCCCAGCAUGGCUGAGUGCCAGCUUGGAACAGCUUCCAUCUUGCAGAACAGUACAAGAGGUAACAGAAGGGAUGAAAUCAAGUCUUUUUUUGCUCUGGGGGUGUUGCAAGUGCUCUUUUUGUGACCCAAGAGUUCAGUUAAGUCUAGAGUUCAUCUCUGAGUGAGCUUUACAGCUUUGUGCCUACACACUGAUGGCAGAAACCCAUCAAUUGUCACAGCUCCUUGGAACAGGUACUUUGUUGAUCAAAUCCAUUUGAGGUGAGUUUUUUUCCUCUAGCUCUCUUGUUCUCUGGCCUGUGUCUCUUGACAUCUUUAGGGUUGAAGAAAUAAACAUUUUAUUUGGUUUCAUUCCUUUUUUAAGGAAACUGUGUGUUGUGACUACAGCUGUCAGGUGGCUCUUGAAUCUGAACCUUUGUAGCUUCUGUAAAAUGGGUGGGCAUUUUGUAUUUACAGCUUUUAGCAGUUAGAAGAUGUUCUCAGAGGGGUUUGGGGAGUGGUAGUGCACUGCCUCCUGUGAGAGCACCAUGAUGAUACCUUGACAGUGUCGUCACCCAGGCUCGUGUAGGCAACAAGGAAUGUUGCAGCCUGGUUGGUUGUCAUUCAUGUGAGUACAUCUGACUCAUUUAGGAUUUAAAAUCCUUGCCUGUUGGUAGUGGGUUUGUCCUAAAAGAGUAAAUGCCAGUUAAUGUCAUUGCUGCACAGCUUGAUGAAAUGCCUCUGUAGACAUUGGUGAAGUGACUGUUUGGUUUUGUUUCAUCUGCAGGACAUUCUGGUUGGUCCAUCUUGGACUGAGCAGUUUCUCUCUCCUUAAUGGGAAGUUUGGAAAAAAUAAUGAUCUGUUCCAGAGUCACUGGGAUUUGUUUUUAUUCUGCUUAAAGAAGCUUCCAGCAUAUGAUGAUGAAGGAUAGACACUGUGAUGGGCACUAAAGCGUGGAUGUGCAGUGUGAGCUCCGAUGGCAGGUACUGGCGUCUCAUCCCAGCAGUCUGGUGCAGCUGGGGAAGGUUUAUGUGCCCUGUGUCUCUUGGCCUUGGUUUUCUCUGUGCUCCAUUUAUUUACUUCCAUGUUGAUGGAAAUGUUUGUCUUUCUUUAUAGCAUAUCCAAAAGCUGUGCCAUAACACAGAAGUAGAUGUUGAGCCAUGGAUGAGCUGGAACCCCAGCAUCUGCCUGUCCUGGCAAGCGACCCGAGCAGUGCCUACCCACAUGAGCAGUUUCAGUGGCAUAUUCUCCUUGGAUCGUGCAGGGCAGAGGAGAAGAGAAGCUCAUCAUCGCUUCCUUUGGGUGGGAACUUCAUUUUAAGCUGGCAGGUCAACAUGCAAGGCCUUUUUCUCACAGUUUUGCUGUGUUGAGUAUUUAUUUGGAGUGUCCUGGUGCUUCAGACAGAAAACCAUUUUAAGCAAACUUGAAGAAACUUCUCAUGAAGCAAAAGUUGAUUGUGGAUGUGGAAAACGAUGGUGAAACAAAGUGGAAGUUGUGUCCUUGUGAUUUUUAUUCCUGUGAAGUGCCAAGUCCCAUGGGAAACUUCAGCCAUAUGAAGUUAACAGUUACCUGAUGCUUAACAUGAAUACCAAGGGUUUGGCUUCAUCCUGCCUGGUUAGUUUUUGUCUCAAAGGAGGACUGAGAAGAGAAAAGGAUGUACCCAGUGGUCUUUAAUGUACAGUACCUCACCUAAUUAGCAAUAUUCCUCCAUUUGGUUGUUUCCAAGGAGUAGGAGGAAGGUGGCCUGUGUGCCUGCAUAAGUGUUGUCAAGAGGUGAGAAUUUGUAUGUGUGUAUUUACUUCCAAAUCCCUUUCUUCUACAGAAGUGUUCUGGCAUGUCAUGUAGUUCAGUUUGGCUUUGGUUUUCAUUUCAGCUUUGCAGACAUUACCAGAAUCACUCAAACACUCUUUCUCUUUUUUUUCAUGCUUAAUCCUUUUACAUGCAACGUUGUACUAGUCUUGCUGAAUAGCAGCAAUGAACAGUUCCUCAGAACAGCAGCCACAGAACCUCAAGGGCUAGAAGGGACCUUGAGAGAUCAUCCAGUCCUACCCCCCUGCCAGAAGUCUGAAGUUCAGGAGCUGUCAUGAGAUUAUUUUGGAGACUUGGCCAAGGUAGCAGGAUUAGAGUUAAUCCUAUGACAAACAUAUUUGGCUAUUUAAAGGAAAAAAAAUCAAAAAGUCUUGAAGUUUGACUCAGCUCUGACCCUCUUCAACCAAACAAAACCUUCCCUAAUGCCUGGGUUUGGCAUGUUGCAGUGUUGGUGCUGUGUGUGCAGUGCCCUGAGCGCAGCUCUGGCUGUGCUGGCAGGCAGCUUGCUCCAUGGGAAGAGGAUCCUGUGAUGUUGCAUUCAGUCCAAAUUCAGUUGAAUAUCUCCUGUUCCAGAAAAGUUUUAGGUGAAGCUUUGUGGGUUUACUGUCCUGUGAGUAGCUGAGCCUGUUGCAUUCGUGGGGCAGGAGGGAAGAUGCUGUUCAACCACGGCUGGCCUGGAGGAAUCAUUGGUUGCUUGCAGACCUUGGAGGAGCCAUCCACUGCCCUUGGAAUCCACCAGAACAUGAAUAAACAUAUUUUAUAGUUGUGUGUGUUUGUGUGAAUUCCUGCAGUUGUAAGGAGAUGUGUGACUUGGAGACAGAUCUUGUGUGCAAGUUGUAUUCUGGAGAAGGGAGAGGGCUGAGAGGAUUGGUUCAGUGUGCAUGUACUCUGGUUCUCUUGGCUGAAGAACAGCAGUGGUGUUGCUCUGAUGCAGUAAAGCAUAAACUCUAGGAGCAGCUCUUCUCCUUGCAGCCCUUGGGCUGAUGGCUUUACUUCAAUUUCUGCUGCACUUUGAGGAGUGAAACAGUUGCAGAUGCCCUGCAAGAGGAGUUUCAUCUCUUCAGAGCUGUUGUAUUGGAGCUGUGCUUUGGUGAUGUCUUUGGUAUCUUAGGUAUAGAUGGUGCUAGGCAAUGGGCCUCAAAGAAAUGAAGAUGGUGAUUGAGGAAUAGUCUUUUCAUUUUUCUUUAACCAUCAACAAGAAGCCAAACUGAGUGUGAGCCAUUUCUUUUCACUCUGCAUCAAGUUGAAUAGCCCAAAGCAUCAUGGAGGUGCACGUAGUCCAGUAUGAAGCACCUUUCCUUCUGCAGACCUGCUUGGGUCCAGUCGUGUGUCAUCCUUCCUGUAAUUCCCAAGUAGCUUUUGACACAUCAGACAGCUCUGUUGUUCUUUAUUGCACCCAGUGAACAAAGCUCAUUGUUGGAGUUUAUCUGGAAGCUGACCAUUGGUGACAUCCACGCACGUGCAGAGGUGGCUGUGUGCGUGUGGGAUAGUCUGCUGGUCCUGAUCAGAAACUGAAGCUGCCUCCUGGUCUUGAACUUCAGCGAACUCCCAUUAUCCCCUUUGUGAAACCAUCUGCAUCUGUGUGGCAGCUCCUCUGCCCGUGCUGUCUGCUGUGAUGAUCUGUCUCAUUAUCUGUCUGGCACAGCUGCUGUAAUUGCCUCCCACGUUCAAGCUCUUCCGCCCAGCUCCCUCCUACACCAAAACUUGCAGUGCCUUCAAGGGAGAAGGUCUUCACACUGAAGUUCUCUGCCUUGGCUGGGACCCUGUGGCUCUGUCUUGCCUUUUGCAUCCCCUCACAGGCCUGGGCUCCCUGCAGUGCUCAGGGGUUUGGUGUCCAUUGCAGAUCGAGCACCCCAAUGGUUGCUUUUUAGUUGGGUCGUGGGGCUUUUUUCUGUACAGGGAAGCUGUCAAA